rnacentral:rRNA from 1 species
UACAGAGGGUGCGAGCGUUAAUCGGAAUUACUGGGCGUAAAGGGCGCGUAGGUGGUUGUUUAAGAUUGAUGUGAAAUCCCUGGGCUUAACCUAGGAACUGCAUCGAUGACUGGACAGCUGGAGUACUGUAGAGGGUAGUGGAAUUUCCGGUGUAGCGGUGAAAUGCGUAGAGAUCGGAAGGAACACCAGUGGCGAAGGCGGCUACCUGGACAGAUACUGACACUGAGGCGCGAGAGCGUGGGUAGCAAACAGG